UGAAAUAAUGAAAUCUGCACCCACAACGAAUUGCUUCUUGCUGAUAACGACCAGAUUUCGAUUUCGUUGUUGAAAACGUCCACGCUAGAGAAUAAGGAAGAAAGAACACUCGAUUUUCUCAUUGUCCCCAAGGAAUUUAUCCUCCGUGCUCGAGUAUUGAAGCUGUACAGGCAAGCUUUAAGGACUGCUCGAAGAGCCCCUGGUCAUGCAAGAGUGCAUAAUGGUUGAAAGCUCAACGGUGUUGCAUUGAUUGUGAUGGAUUUCACAGUUGAAUUGAAACAGCAGAUUAGACAAGAGAUGGAGACUACCCGGAACUGCACUGGCAAGCAGAGGAUUCGUUUCUUGGUCAGAGAAGGAUUAGAGAGACUGAAAGGUCCGAGUGAGAUGCUUGAUAUGCAAGGUCAUUGCUAAUGUAGUGAGUGAGACUCUGUUUUGUAUUUGCAAGGAAUUCUUCCCCCUUCUGUAUCUGUUUCAACAUAAUUCAGUGUUCAUCAACUUUGGUCUCUCAUAAAGGAUGUGUAUUUUUGUUGUCUCCAUAUUGCGACCCAAAACAAGCAAAAAGAAAUCCAUUGUUGUUUAAGGAA